rnacentral:rRNA from 1 species
AUACGGAGGGUGCAAGCGUUGUUCGGAUUUAUUGGGCGUAAAGCGAGUGUAGGCGGUUUGACAAGUCGGAUGUGAAAUCCCGAGGCCCAACCUCGGAACUGCAUCCGAAACUGUCAGGCUAGAGUCCCGGAGAGGGUGGCGGAAUUCCCGGUGUAGGGGUGAAAUCCGUAGAUAUCGGGAGGAACACCAGUGGCGAAGGCGGCCACCUGGACGGUGACUGACGCUGAGACUCGAAAGCGUGGGUAGCAAACAGGAUUAGAUACCCCGGUAGUCC